CGGGGCGUAGCGCAGCUUGGAAGCGCGUCUGGUUUGGGACCAGAAGGUCGGCGGUUCAAAUCCGCCCGCCCCGACCA
rnacentral:tRNA from 2 species